UGUUAUGAAUUGCUUAAGUAUUUAGAUGACUCUGUAUUAAUAGAAAUGCUAGCUUUGUUUAAUUCAGUGUGGAAAGAAGGAAAAUUACCAGUAGAAUGGAAGCAUGAGGUGGUAGUUCCAAUUUUAAAGCCAGGUAAAGACAUGUCUAAUCCUCGUUCAUAUUGGCCUAUAGCUUUAACGUCAGUGCUUUGUAAAACUAUGGAACGAAUGGUCGCCAACAGAUUUGUUUAUUUUUUUAAAAAAUAAGGGACAUUUUGCUGCCCAUGAAAAUGGUUUUAGAACUAGAAGGUCAACAAUGGAAUCUGUUGCCCUUUAGAUCAUGAUAUUAAAAAGGUGUUUCAAGAUAGAGAAGUAAUGGUAACUGUAUUUCUAGAUAUUGAAAGAGCAUAUGACUCACUAUGGAAGGAUAGUUUAUUAAUUAAACUCUAUGAUGCGGGAAUUAGAGGUAGAAUGUUCAAUUGGAUCAAAGAUUUUCUUAAGGAAAAGACAAUUCAAGUAAGAAUAGGCAGAACAAGCUCUAAGUCAGUUAAAAUAGAUAAUGUUACUCUUCAAGGAAGCGUCAUUAGUCCAGUUUUUUUUAAUGUCAUGAUAAACAAUAACUUUGAGCAGGUAGGGACAGGAUUUGGCAAGUCAUUGUUUGCAGACGAUGGUGCAAUCUGGAAAAGAGGAAGAAACAUCAAGUAUAUAUUAAAGCAGCUUCAAGGAAGCAGAGCAAUUUCAACAGCGUCGAUUGUAAAUGAAUAUUUAAACAAUAAAUGGGGAUCUUAUCUGAAGAUUUUUACUGAUGGCUCAGUGGACCCAGACAGCAGUAAGAGUGCAGUAAUAUGCUUAGAUGCAUCUAAACUGUUGGAAAUAGAAGAAGAAGAAGUAGAAGAGGGCCACCUGUUGGGACACUCCCAGUGACUGUAGUUUGUGGGCUCGGCUUGCGUUGCUUUGGAAGCUGCAGCUAUGCGUUCCGACUCCGACUCCUUCAGCAGGGGUCUGGAACCAGACAGUUUCCCCGCCGCCAAACUGAACCGGUGACUCCCGCAAUGACAGACCAAAAAGGGGAGGUCAAGGAAAGGGCAGAAAGUGGGCACAGCAAUAGGCGUUGCUGGCUCAGAUCUCCAGAGACGCAUGUUCGAUCCCCACUUCGGGCGCUGUGUGUAUGCAGACUGUCCAGCAGAGUUCCUCCAGCCAUUUGUGUGCAUUGAUCUUGGCUUCUCUUAUCACUCGGCACCGCCAUCUGUUUAACAGGACACCUCCUUGGGAUUUCUAAUGAUUAACAGGACAGCCCAGGAUGUGCACCAGAUGCUGGGCUGUCAACAAUUCCAUACUUUGGAAAUAAACACAGAAUAACUUUCCUCCCAACAUGUGAAAGGAAGCACAAGAGGCUUCAGCUGAUCCAGGGAUGGGGCCCUGCUUCACAUCUGCAGGUGCAGGUACCCCAGGAAGUAUGCUGCCUGUGCACAGCAGGAUCCCACAAGCAACCAACCAAGGGCAAUCAAAAUGCUAUGUCUGCUUUGGGACUGGCCAUCCAGCCAGUGUGACCUGCUCCCAGUACUAAUUCAUGUCUUCAUACAAAGCCUUAACCAUCCCCUCUCCUCCACACUCCAUAUUCAUAACUCUAAGUAAAUUUUUAAAAUUCAUAUUCAUGUCACCAUAUG